AUUGAACGCUGGCGGCAGGCCUAACACAUGCAAGUCGAACGAGUGGCGGACGGGUGAGUAAGGUCUGGGAAACUGACUGAUGGAGGGGGAUAACUACUGGAAACGGUAGCUAAUACCGCAUACCAUCGGAUGUGCCCAGAUGGGAUUAGCUAGUAGGUGGGGUAAAGGCUCACGUAGGCGGCGAUCCCAAGCUGGUCUGAGAGGAUGACCAGCCACGCUGGAACUGUGACACGGUCCAAUUGGCUACGGGAGGCAGCAGUGGGGAAUAUGGCACAAUGGGCGGAAGCCUGCUGCAGCAAUGCCGCGUGUAUGAAGAAGGCCUUCGGGUUGUAAAGUACUUUCAGCCGGUAGGCGGUACCCGCAGAAGAAGCACCGGCUAACUCCGUGCCAGCAGCCGCGGUAAUUC
rnacentral:rRNA from 1 species